AUUGAACGCUGGCGGCGUGCCUAACACAUGCAAGUCGAGCGGCAGCGCGGGAGCAAUCCUGGCGGCGAGCGGCGGACGGGUGAGUAAUGCUUGGGAAUCUGCCUGUUAGUGGGGGACAACCCGGGGGAAACUCGGGCUAAUACCGCAUACGCACUACGGUGGAAAGCCGGGGACCGCAAGGCCUGGCGCUAACAGAUGAGCCCAAGUCGGAUUAGCUAGUUGGUAGGGUAACGGCCACCAAGGCGACGAUCCGUAACUGGUCUGAGAGGACGACCAGUCACACCGGGGACUGAGACACGGCCCAGACUCCUACGGGAGGCAGCAGUGGGGAAUAUUGGACAAUGGGCGCAAGCCUGAUCCAGCGAUGCCGCGUGUGUGAAGAAGGCCUGCGGGUUGUAAAGC
rnacentral:rRNA from 1 species